rnacentral:rRNA from 1 species
GACGAACGCUGGCGGCGUGCUUAACACAUGCAAGUCGAACGAAGAGCGAUGGAAGCUUGCUUCUAUCAAUCUUAGUGGCGAACGGGUGAGUAACGCGUAAUCAACCUGCCCUUCAGAGGGGGACAACAGUUGGAAACGACUGCUAAUACCGCAUACGAUCUAAUCUCGGCAUCGAGGAUAGAUGAAAGGUGGCCUCUAUUUAUAAGCUAUCACUGAAGGAGGGGAUUGCGUCUGAUUAGCUAGUUGGAGGGGUAACGGCCCACCAAGGCGAUGAUCAGUAGCCGGUCUGAGAGGAUGAACGGCCACAUUGGGACUGAGACACGGCCCAGACUCCUACGGGAGGCAGCAGUGGGGAAUCUUCCGCAAUGGACGAAAGUCUGACGGAGCAACGCCGCGUGAGUGAUGACGGCCUUCGGGUUGUAAAGCUCUGUUAAUCGGGACGAAAGGCCUUCUUGCGAAUAGUUAGAAGGAUGACGGUACC